GACGAACGCUGGCGGCGUGCUUAACACAUGCAAGUCGAACGGAAAGGCCCUGCUUUUGUGGGGUGCUCGAGUGGCGAACGGGUGAGUAACACGUGAGUAACCUGCCCUUGACUUUGGGAUAACUUCAGGAAACUGGGGCUAAUACCGGAUAGGAGCUCCUGCUGCAUGGUGGGGGUUGGAAAGUUUCGGCGGUUGGGGAUGGACUCGCGGCUUAUCAGCUUGUUGGUGGGGUAGUGGCUUACCAAGGCUUUGACGGGUAGCCGGCCUGAGAGGGUGACCGGCCACAUUGGGGAUGAGGAACGGGCCAGGAUCCUACGGGGGGGAGCAGUGGGGAAUAUUGCAAAAUGGGCGGAAGCCUGAAGGCGGAACGGCGGGUGCGGGAUGACGGGCUUUCGGUUGUAAACCGGUUUAGGCCGUGACGGAGGGUGGGGGGAGGGAAUGGGUAAAGAAGCACCGGCUAACUACGUG
rnacentral:rRNA from 1 species